rnacentral:rRNA from 1 species
GACGAACGCUGGCGGCGUGGAUUAGGCAUGCAAGUCGAACGGUAGGAUACCUUCGGGUAUCUGAGAGUGGCGAACGGGUGAGUAACACGUAGGUGAUCUACCCUCAAGAUUGGGACAACCCAGGGAAACUUGGGCUAAUACCGGAUGAAAGCAGCAGUGAUGUUGUUUGAAAGGUGGCGUAAGCUGCCGUUUGGGGAUGAGCCUGCGCUCUAUUAGUUAGUUGGCGGGGUAAAGGCCCACCAAGGCGAUGAUAGAUAGGCGGCCUUAACGGGUGGUCGCCCACACUGGGAUUGAGAUACGGCCCAGACUCCUACGGGAGGCAGCAGUCGAGAAUAGUCUACAAUGGCCGAAAGGCUGAUAGUGCGACGCCGCGUGAACGAAGAAGCCCUUCGGGGUGUAAAGUUCUUUUAUAUGUGAGCAGUGCUUUCUAUGUGAACAGCAUGGGGAGAGAGAUAUUAGCAUAUGAAUAAGCAACGGCUAACUCCGUGCCAGCAGACCCGG